rnacentral:rRNA from 1 species
AUUGGAUUGGCGGGUGCUACACAUGCAGUCGAACGAUGAAGCCCAGCUUGCUGGGUGGAUUAGUGGCGAACGGGUGAGUAACACGUGAGUAACCUGCCCUUAACUCUGGGAUAAGCCUGGGAAACUGGGUCUAAUACCGGAUAGGAGCGCCUACCGCAUGGUGGGUGUUGGAAAGAUUUAUCGGUUUUGGAUGGACUCGCGGCCUAUCAGCUUGUUGGUGAGGUAAUGGCUCACCAAGGCGACGACGGGUAGCCGGCCUGAGAGGGUGACCGGCCACACUGGGACUGAGACACGGCCCAGACUCCUACGGGAGGCAGCAGUGGGGAAUAUUGCACAAUGGGCGAAAGCCUGAUGCAGCGACGCCGCGUGAGGGAUGACGGCCUUCGGGUUGUAAACCUCUUUCAGUAGGGAAGAAGCGAAAGUGACGGUACCUGCAGAAGAAGCACCGGCUAACUACGUGCCAGCAGCCGCGGUAAUACGUAGGGUGCGAGCGUUAUCCGGAAUUAUUGGGCGUAAAGAGCUCGUAGGCGGUUUGUCGCGUCUGUCGUGAAAGUCCGGGGCUUAACCCCGGAUCUGCGGUGGGUACGGGCAGACUAGAGUGCAGUAGGGGAGACUGGAAUUCCUGGUGUAGCGGUGGAAUGCGCAGAUAUCAGGAGGAACACCGAUGGCGAAGGCAGGUCUCUGGGCUGUAACUGACGCUGAGGAGCGAAAGCAUGGGGAGCGAACAGGAUUAGAUACCCUGGUAGUCCAUGCCGUAAACGUUGGGCACUAGGUGUGGGGACCAUUCCACGGUUUCCGCGCCGCAGCUAACGCAUUAAGUGCCCCGCCUGGGGAGUACGG